rnacentral:rRNA from 1 species
CAGUCGCCGCGGUAAUACGUAGGUGGCAAGCGUUGUCCGGAAUUAUUGGGCGUAAAGGGCUCGCAGGCGGUUUCUUAAGUCUGAUGUGAAAGCCCCCGGCUCAACCGGGGAGGGUCAUUGGAAACUGGGAAACUUGAGUGCAGAAGAGGAGAGUGGAAUUCCACGUGUAGCGGUGAAAUGCGUAGAGAUGUGGAGGAACACCAGUGGCGAAGGCGACUCUCUGGUCCAUAACUGACGCUGAGGUGCGAAAGCGUGGGGAGCAAACAGGAUUAGAUACCCCUGUAGUCCCUGUCUCUUAUAC